CCCAAUUCUUUAUAGAGUCACUUGUCACCCCAGUUAUCCUACAUGUGCCUGGGAAGGAGGAUGGGAUGACUGGUCUGAAUCUUUGCAAAACACAGUGAAAGCUUCUGAGCCCUCCCUCUGAGCCAAGGACCGUGCUCAAGGCAUAACAAGUGCUUCACACUUGAUCUCACUCACUGAACGCUCACAAACCUGAGAGCUGCGCCACAGACUGCCUUUGCGCCCCUAUAGACCAAACGGGACCUUUAAACGUUUGCUGGGCUGGGUCCUCACAACCCCAGGGGGAGUUGUUCACACAAGCGUCAGUGGAAACAACUCCUCCAGGGUGGGGCAGUGCAGAGGGGGCCCUGGCCAGCCCUAGUCUGAGGCAUCUGACGGCAGGACCAACCCUCCCUCACAGGACCCAGCCCUUGUCAGGGCCCAGCCCACACUGGGGUUGGUGCCCGUCUAUCCCUGACAAGGACACUCACAGUGACCUCCUUCGGACAUGUUUUUCUUCUUGCCUGUGGAUCAAUUCCUCCUGGCUUAGACCCCUCCAGGACUCUGGCACUGAUCUCUCUUGGUCUCGGAUUUGAGGAAAUAAAAAUAGAAGAGGAAAAACACAGAACUCUCCAAAGCUUUGGAGUGGCUGCAGCCAUCUGGAUGGAGGCAGCAUGCGCCUGGGCUGGAAGAGCCACGGUCCCUUGACUGAGUCUCGGUGCUUCUCCCCGUCCCUCUCAGACACGGCUCUCAUGGUGGACGAGAUGGGGCCGGAUCUUAGGCCCGGGAUUCUGCAGAAUGCAAGGCUCAGAGCUUGCCAAGCUCUGAGUGGCUUGGAGACUGGUGUGAGGACUGAGGGUGCCCACAGAUCACCAACCCACACCGGCAGCCUGAGUUGGAAGACAGGUCAGACGUCUCAGAAGAGCUGGCUUAUUCGGGAAGCUCUGAGGAACCUUGCCUUGUCCAGCCUUUUGGGCACCCCCACUCUUUGGCUCACAGUCGCUCCCUCCAUCUUCACAGCCAGCACUGAAGCAUUCCUCACUCACUCUCAUUCAGACCUCUGCUCCCAAGAGUCUUGUCAUCUCUCUCUCUGACCGUCUCACGGAAACCCUGUGAUGACAUGGGGCUCACCCACAUAUUUCAGGAUAGUCUGCUCAUCUCAAGAUCCUGAACUCCAUCGCACCUGCAAAGUCUUUUGUGCAAGGUGUGAUAUAAUAAAAAAUAAAUAUUUGGUCCUGGCA